rnacentral:rRNA from 1 species
GACGAACGCUGGCGGCGUGCUUAACACAUGCAAGUCGAACGGAAAGGCCCCUUUGGGGGUACUCGAGUGGCGAACGGGGGAGUAACACGUGAGUAACCUGCCCUUGACUUCGGGAUAACUUCAGGAAACUGGGGCUAAUACCGGAUAGGAAUCCUUGCUGCAUGGUGGGGGUUGGAAAGCUUCGGCGGUUUUGGAUGGACUCGCGGCUUAUCAGCUUGUUGGUGGGGUAGUGGCUUACCAAGGCUUUGACGGGUAGCCGGCCUGAGAGGGCGACCGGCCACAUUGGGACUGAGAUACGGCCCAGACUCCUACGGGAGGCAGCAGUGGGGAAUCUUGCACAAUGGGCGGAAGCCUGAUGCAGCAACGCCGCGUGCGGGAUGACGGCCUUCGGGUUGUAAACCGCUUUCAGCAGGGGCGAAGCUUGUGGUGACGGUACCUGCAGAAGAAGCACCGGCUAACUACGUG